rnacentral:rRNA from 1 species
UGCAAGUCGAACGAUGACUUUUGUGCUUGCACAGAAUGAUUAGUGGCGAACGGGUGAGUAACACGUGAGUAACCUGCCCCUGACUCUGGGAUAAGCCUGGGAAACUGGGUCUAAUACCGGAUAUGCACCGUGGACCGCAUGGUUUUUGGUGGAAAGAUUUUUUGGUCAGGGAUGGACUCGCGGCCUAUCAGCUUGUUGGUGAGGUAAUGGCUCACCAAGGCGACGACGGGUAGCCGGCCUGAGAGGGUGACCGGCCACACUGGGACUGAGACACGGCCCAGACUCCUACGGGAGGCAGCAGUGGGGAAUAUUGCACAAUGGGCGAAAGCCUGAUGCAGCGACGCCGCGUGAGGGAUGACGGCCUUCGGGUUGUAAACCUCUUUCAGUAGGGAAGAAGCGAAAGUGACGGUACCUGCAGAAGAAGCGCCGGCUAACUACGUGCCAGCAGCCGCGGUAAUACGUAGGGCGCAAGCGUUAUCCGGAAUUAUUGGGCGUAAAGAGCUCGUAGGCGGUUUGUCGCGUCUAUCGUGAAAGUCCGAGGCUCAACCUCGGAUCUGCGGUGGGUACGGGCAGACUAGAGUGAUGUAGGGGAGACUGGAAUUCCUGGUGUAGCGGUGAAAUGCGCAGAUAUCAGGAGGAACACCGAUGGCGAAGGCAGGUCUCUGGGCAUUAACUGACGCUGAGGAGCGAAAGCAUGGGGAGCGAACAGGAUUAGAUACCCUGGUAG